rnacentral:lncRNA from 1 species
UAUAAUCCCGAAUAGCACCAUGUAGAAGCUACUACCAUAGUGACACCGAGCAUUGCGCCCUUCUCUGUGAUAGCAAUUCGAUUUCCCAAUAGCCCUGCAUCCACAAAUGGAUGCAAAUUUUCCAGGUAAACGCCAAAUUCAGUCUCCAAGAAAAAUUCCCUUAAAAUAUGGCACAUUCGCCAGCAUAAUAUUACUAUACAUUACUCAGAGCAUAGUACCUCAUACAGGUUGCAGUAGUUAUAACGUAGGCUAUGUCUGUGCCAUACAAGCUCAGAUACUGAAGCAAACCACAUACCCACGUUCUUUUCGUACCUGAAAUGGACAACUGAACAUAGUAGGAUCGACACACCGAGGACCACCAUCUAAAGUAAAUUCUCUCACGCGAAAUCAGACAACCAUUCGGAUAAUAAAGUAAGUUAAAGACUUAGUUGUUUUCCUACCAAGAUUUACUCUAACCGCAUCCAUGUAAGAAUAAUUCCGCGUUCCUUUUAUGGAGUCAGGAGACCGGUAACAAUCUGACAGAAGGAAAGCGGAGAUGUAGGUGAUUAUCGCGAAACAAAGCAAGGACACUGGCCCCCCUAUCCACCCCAGCUGUGCCGUACUCCAAGCUAGAGACAGAACUCCGGCUCCAAUG